rnacentral:rRNA from 1 species
AAAUAGAUACCCCUGGUAGUCCACGACCGUAAACGAUGGAUACUAGCUGUUCGGCGUAAGCUGAGUGGCUAAGCGAAAGUGAUAAGUAUCCCACCUGGGGAGUACGAACGCAAGUUUGAAACUCAAAGGAAUUGACGGGGGCCCGCACAAGCGGUGGAACAUGUGGUUUAAUUCGAUGAUACGCGAGGAACCUUACCAGGCUUAAAUGUAGAUUGACAGGUUUAGAGAUAGGACUUUUCUUCGGACAAUUUACAAGGUGCUGCAUGGUUGUCGUCAGCUCGUGCCGUGAGGUGUCAGGUUAAGUCCUAUAACGAGCGCAACCCCUGUUGUUAGUUGCCAGCGAGUCAAGUCGGGAACUCUAACAAGACUGCCAGUGCAAACUGUGAGGAAGGUGGGGAUGACGUCAAAUCAUCACGGCCCUUACGUCCUGGGCUACACACGUGCUACAAUGGUAGGGACAGAGAGCAGCCACUUCGCGAGAAGGAGCGAAUCUAUAAAACCCUAUCACAGUUCGGAUCGGAGUCUGCAACUCGA